AAACUGUAUUACUUUAAUGGAAGC
rnacentral:piRNA from 1 species